rnacentral:rRNA from 1 species
AUGGUGGGUUGCGUUCUGGGUACAGACACUUGUCCGAACAAUAUAUGGCAAUAUUUCUCAUGGUGCUAUGUUUUCCUUCCUGAUGGGGGGAAGUUUUACACAUUUGUGCUAGCAGCCAUAUGUUGGGCUAUAUGGAAUUGCCGCAACCAAGCUACCUUUGAGCAGAAAAAAUUAAAGAAACCUUUUGCUGUGAUUUAUUCUGCAUGUGGCUUUAUCUCUUAUUGGGCAGGGAUGAUGAAUGGAGCGGACCGGGAGGUGAUGGAGAGAGGAGCCAAAAUGCUAAGGGCCAGCGCAUCAAACAUGAUGAGGAUCUACGCGGCAUCGGGUGAGAUGGCGCAGGAUUGA